UAAAGUUGAAAAACCAUAACACCAGUUAAAUAGCCGCGGUAACUCUGACCGUGAUAAAGUAGCAUAAUCAUUUGUCAUUUAAUUGGUGACUAGAAUGAAUGGUUAAACGAAUCUCUAGCUGUCUCAACAAGAAAUAGAACAAAAUUAAAAUUACAGUGAAGAUGCUGUGAAUAAAUUGCAAGACGAAAAGACCCUAUUGAGCUUUACUGGAUGUUUGUGAACUUUUCUCAUCAUAAUAAUAUAAGUGACCUAUAAAGCAAAUAAGACAGUUUGGUUGGGGCGACCACCUCUAAAAUAGUAACAGAGGAGAUCUAAAGGUUAAAUUUAUGAAUACUAACUUUACUGAAAUAAUAAUAGUUUAAUCAGUUACUCACUAAGUAGGACAUAAUGACCCGCUAUUUUUUAUGUAAAAAAUAACGAUUACAGAAUAAGUUACCAUAGGGAUAACAGGGUAAUAGUUUUCAAGAGUUCAUAUCGACGAAACUGUUUGCCACCUCGAUGUUGAAUUGUGAUAUCCUAA
rnacentral:rRNA from 1 species